UGAUGAUGACGACGACGACGACUACGACGAUGAUGAUGAUGGGGAUGAUGGGAAUGAUGAUGAUGAUGAACUUUAAGGAUUUUGCUAAUGUAGAUGAUUCAGUCCUAUUAUGGCAUCCCAUUUCCAUGCAGGUGAUAACAAUUGAUGUCUCUAGACUCAUGUCCUGCUUAUACUUUGACUGGAUGCUAAAUAGCAAAGAUUUUCAUAGCUUGAAUUUCAGUUGAGGCUACUGUUACUGGACGUGCAUAAGCAUAUCUGUCAGUAUGACUGUUUUUCUUUUUAGAUAAAAAUCCUGGUCUGUUGUAUUAAAUUUAUAAAUGUUUUCAGUUAUAAUUAUUUGGAAAUGUAUUCAAGUGACAUAUCCUUGUAUCUUGUUUCAUAAUGAUAGUAGAGUGGGUUCUUUUCUUAACUUUUUUAAAGGGUUCUAGUCCGUGUCAAUUAUAAUGAUUUCCGUAGGAUGGCAUUCAAUUGAGCCUACUGUUAUUGGAUGAUAUACAAGCUAUACUUUCAGGAAUCUGCUGACAACAUAUAGAAGCUGAUGUCAAACUUGGAGAAUAUUAUCUGCUGUAUACUGAAGUCCCUUGAAUUGGAUGUAGAGACAGUCUUGUACAAGCAUUUUUGCUUGCUCAUGCAACAAAAUUCACUAAUUGGCAGAAGCAAAUUAUUAUUAGUACAAAAAUUUCUUCCUUUCUACAUAAUUGUUCCCCCACCCCAGCCCUCCAUUUUCUUCUUCUUCUUACUGCAAUUUAGUAUAUUUAUGCUCAAAUUGAUUGUAAAGCUUGAAUAUUCCAAAUCCUAUAACUAUUUCAGACUGGCACAACUGGUCUUAAAUCUAUAUGUUGGUUGAAUCAGACUUGGAAAUGUGAAUAGGCACUGUUUGUUUCAGAAGGAAUUGAGGUAGGAAAUAGAAGGGAAGUGGGAGGUGUUUGUGAUAGAGCUAAAGAUGGUGAGCUUUUUAUCAGCACCAAUGGUAGCCAUCUUGGUCUUGCAGUAUUGCCUGCCAUCUGUUUCCCUGAUGAUGGUGGGACACCUUGAUGAACUUUCUCUUUCCGGGGUCUCUGUUGCCACCUCUUACGCCAUUGUAACUGGCUACAGUCUCAUUGUAAAGUCCUUGUCUCCUUUAUCCUCCUCUAGAUAAAUUUCAUCCAUGCAUUAUAGCUGAAAAUAAUAUUAACCUUGUUUUUUAAUCAGUGUAGAAUAGAAGACAUAUGUAGUCUUCAUUUUUCGCCUACAUGUAUUAAGUCUCUUAGCAUUUUGUUGCAUGCUAAUCAUAAUAGUCUGUAUGGUGGUCGUUUGGAGGGACUUAUUUUGCUUUCUGGUCUUUUACCAAAUCCAGAAUUGGAGACUUCAGUGCUUUUGCUAUGGUAUGCUUCUUUUCCAUAUGUAAUAUAUGAGGUUUACAAUAGAAUGCUUCUAAUUUUUCACUGCAUGCAGCCUUACAAUUACUAAUUUGUACUACUACAUACCAUAUGGAUUUGCAGCACAGCAAGGUUUGCUCUUAAAUUUGUUUCCUUACGCCUAAACUUGUCUAAGCAUGGUAUACAAUUGUUUUGGAAAAGAAUGCAUUAAAUGCUCUGUCACACUCGGGUUUCAAAUGAGUUGGGAGCUGGGAAUGCACAAGCAGCUAAAAUAACUGUUAAGGCCAUAAUAGUUCUUGUAGUUGCAGAGAUGGUUAUUGUAGCCAUGAUUCUCUUCUUCUGCCAUCGUGUUUUGGGCUAUGCCUUUAGCUGUAAGAAGGAAAUUGUAGAUCGUAUUGCAGAUAUGGGUCCUUUGCUUUGUCUCUUAAUAAAUAAUAAUCGUGGAUGGCUUACAAGCAGUACUUUCAAGUAACUUUCUCAUAUUUCUCUCAUGUAAUGGGCUUUGAGUUGGAGCUAAAUUUUUGAAAGUUAUAACUUCUUAAUUCUUAUCAAUUCAAGUGAAUACUAUAGCUAUACUAUCAAAUACACAUUAGUUCAUUAUUAAUUUAGAAUAUUUUCUUUGCAAUAAAAAAGUUUACUAAUGGUGUGGAAAGAAUUAAACAAGUUUACUCUCGGAAGUAAAUUUCUUUCUGGUUUAACAAAUAGCCUUACAUCCUUAACAGGAAAUGUCUAGUUAGUUGUUAUGCCAUAGUCAUAACCAUCAUUAUUAUAUUGUGUAUAUUUCAUCAAAAUAGAUUAGCAAAAGAUGUCAAUGUAGAAGUUGUGAUUCUUCCUUGAUAUUGCUUGCCAUUAACUCACAAAGUUAUGUUGUGCUAUAUAUGCAUCAGGGGUCGCUAGAGGAAGUGGCUGGCAGGAUAUAGGAGCCUAUGUAAAUCUUGGGGCAUAUUAUCUGGUUGGGGUUCCAGUAGGCGUUGUUUUGGCCUUCGUUGUACACUUGAAAGGAAAGGGUCUUUGGAUCGGAAUGCUGACAAGGUCUACUGUACAGGCAUAUCUGCUUGCUCGUAAAACAAGUUUCACAAAUUGGGAAAAACAGGUUAUUAGUACAAAAAAAUUAAUCCUUUCUAUAUAUUUGGUUUUAUUUUUACACCUUUCUACAAAUAAAAUUCAUGUUCAACUUGAUCAAAUAGUAUGAAAAUUGAGAACCUUAUAACUAUUUGUGACUGAAAUAAUUGGUGUCCAAUUGAGUUGAAUGGACAAAAUAUUAGACUAAACCAUUUUGAAU